rnacentral:rRNA from 1 species
GAAUUUUUCUCAAUGGGCGAAAGCCUGAAGGAGCGACGCCGCGUGGGGGAUGAAGGUCUUCGGAUUGUAAACCCCUGUCACUUGGGAACAAACCUUUCAACCUAACACGUUGAGAGCUGAUUGUACCAGGAGAGGAAGACGUGGCUAACUCUGUGCCAGCAGCCGCGGUAAUACAGAGACGUCAAGCGUUGUUCGGAUUCAUUGGGCGUAAAGGGUGCGUAGGCGGUGAGGUAAGUCGGAUGUGAAAUCUCAGGGCUCAACCCUGAAAGUGCAUCCGAAACUCCCUCGCUUGAGGACUGGAGGGGAGACUGGAAUUCUCGGUGUAGCGGUGAAAUGCGUAGAUAUCGAGAGGAACACCUGUGGCGAAGGCGGGUCUCUAGACAGUUCCUGACGCUGAGGCACGAAAGCUAGGGUAGCAAACGGG